AGUCACUGACAUUAGAUACCCGGGUAGUCCAGGGUGUAAACGCUGCAGACUUGGUGUUGGGAACCCUUCGGGGGUGCUCAGUGCCGGAGAGAAGUUGUUAAGUCUGCUACUUGGGGAGUACGUCCGCAAGGAUGAAACUUAAAGGAAUUGGCGGGGGAGCACCGCAACGGGAGGAGCGUGCGGUUUAAUUGGAUUCAACACCGUAAAACUCACCAGGGAAGACUGUUACAUGAAGGCCGAGAUGAAGACUCUGCUAGAUUUUCAG
rnacentral:rRNA from 1 species